rnacentral:rRNA from 1 species
UCAAGAAACUUCCACAAUGGGCGAAAGCCUGAUGGAGCGACGUCGCGUGAUGGACGAAGUGCUUCGGCACGUAAACAUCUUUUAUGUGGGAUGAAAUUAUUGACAGUACCACAUGAAUAAGGGGCUCCUAACUCUGUGCCAGCAGGAGCGGUAAUACAGAGGCCCCAAGCGUUAUCCGGAAUCACUGGGCGUAAAGGGUGUCGAGGCGGUUGUAUUAGUCGUUCGUAAAAUCUACGAGCUUAACUUGUAGGCGGCGAACGAAACGGUACGACUUGAGGUUUGGAGAGGUGCGUGGAACUCACGGUGUAGGGGUGAAAUCCGUUGAUAUCGUGGGGAACACCAAAGGCGAAGGCAGCGCACUGGCCAAAAUCUGACGCUCACACACGAAAGCUAGGGUAGCGAAGAGGAUUAGAUACCCUAGUAGUCCCUGAGCGGGCUGGCAAGGCGCAU